rnacentral:misc_RNA from 1 species
UCUCCGUUGGUGUACCAGCGGAGGGAUCAUUACCGAGUUUACAACUCCCAAACCCAAUGUGAACCAUACCAAACUGUUGCCUCGGCGGGGUCACGCCCCGGGUGCGUCGCAGCCCCGGAACCAGGCGCCCGCCGGAGGGACCAACCAAACUCUUUCUGUAGUCCCCUCGCGGACGUUAUUUUUACAGCUCUGAGCAAAAAUUCAAAAUGAAUCAAAACUUUCAACAACGGAUCUCUUGGUUCUG